ensembl:rRNA 5S_rRNA 5S ribosomal RNA
GCUUACGGCCACACCGCCUGGUUCACGCCCGAUCUCGUUUGAUCUCGGAAGCUAAAAUAGGGUGGGCCUGGUUAGUACUUGGAUGGGAGACCGCCUGGGAAUACCAGGUGUUGUAAGAU